UACGGAAAUUUCCGUACGUUUUUCUUGAUCAAUCAAUUCCUUUAGCAAAGGAAAUCAGGGAUGAUUUCAUUAGGCUUGGUUCUGCACAUGGAUGUGCUGUCCAAGCCGGUGCGUUAAAAAGGGAUUUAUUUAUCAAGAUAAAAAAACGUCUCGGACGGCACUCUU
ncrna:Psychromonas ingrahamii 37 TwoGGAY RNA